rnacentral:rRNA from 1 species
GACGAACGCUGGCGGCGUGCUUAACACAUGCAAGUCGAACGGAAAGGCCCUGCUUUUGUGGGGUGCUCGAGUGGCGAACGGGUGAGUAACACGUGAGUAACCUGCCCUUGACUUUGGGAUAACUUCAGGAAACUGGGGCUACUACCGGAUAGGAGCUCCUGCUGCAUGGUGGGGGUUGGAAAGUUUCGGCGGGUGGGGAUGGACUCGCGGCUUAUCAGCUUGUUGGUUGGGUAGUGGCUUACCAAGGCUUUGACGGGUAGCCGGCCUGGGAGGGUGACCGGCCACAUUGGGACUGAGAUACGGCCCAGACUCCUACGGGAGGCAGCAGUGGGGAAUAUUGCACAAUGGGCGGAAGCCUGAUGCAGCAGCGCCGCGUGCGGGAUGACGGCCUUCGGGUUGUAAACCGCUUUCGCCUGUGACGAAGCGUGAGUGACGGUAAUGGGUAAAGAAGCACCGGCUAACUACGUG